rnacentral:rRNA from 1 species
UACGGAGGGGGCUAGCGUUGUUCGGAAUUACUGGGCGUAAAGCGCGCGUAGGCGGACCUGCAAGUCGGGGGGUGAAAGCCCGAGGCUCAACCUCGGAACUGCCUUCGAUACUGCGGGUCUCGAGUCCGGGAGAGGUGAGUGGAAUUCCUAGUGUAGAGGUGAAAUUCGUAGAUAUUAGGAAGAACACCAGUGGCGAAGGCGGCUCACUGGCCCGGUACUGACGCAUGA